UUAAAAUAGAAAAUAUAUUGGUAGAAUGGUAAUAAAAGUGUAUUAUUUUAGAUCUUAUAAAGUAUUGUGUGGACUAUAAUAUUGCUAUAGGAAAUCAUGCUGAUUCCAUGCUAUGUCAUCGAGUUAAAAUGUAAAUGUUGUGGAGAGAAUGCAGGCGGGCCCCAGUGUAAUUAGUCCUAGACGUCGCAAACAAUAUAACACUGACAAUACGAUUAAAUGUAAACGGGUAAAGGUGAAACGAUAACAUGACAUUACGACGAGCGGUUUUCAUAAAAUGGAUGAAUCAUUAAAUAGUCAAAUUUUAUGGUUUUACAAAAAGAAUAUUGAAAAUUUAGCCGGGUAUCAAUCGUUUUUGUCCUCAACAAGAGGCGAUUUAGUUAAAAUAUUACGCAACUGUCUUAAAGAAAUGGGGUCGAUAAAAUUCAACUUAAAACUGGAGGUGACUUAUAUAGUACCGAAUAAUGAAACCAAGUACGAAAAAUGGUCAUUUAAAACGUCGGCAGUCGAGUCAAUUAACGAUGAUGAUAUAGAUCAUGCUGUGUAUAUGUCAUACACAAAAUUAUUAGAAGAACUAGAAAAAUAUGCUGGUAAAAGUUGUAAUUUCUCGUUUUCUAAUAUAGACGGUAUUUUACUGGGAGUGCAAAUAUCAGCCUUUGGGUGGUUCUUUUUAUAUUGAUUUGCCGCAUGACAUUAAAAUGAGAAGUGCUGUAAUUUACCCACAAUAUAUAGAUCAACAAUGUUUCAAAUAGGCUGUAUUAGCAAGAAAAGUGACUGGUGAUAACAAAUAUAUAGUCGAUUAUAACUAUAAGUCGUAAGAAAACUCUUAUGAUUUCUCCGUUUUAUCAUUACCAACACCAAUUUCAGACAUAGAAAUUUUUGAAAAAAUAAUACGUAUACUUCAGUUAAUGUUCACAGAUUGAAAUUGAAAAAUUCACAUAAUAAACCCGAAUAUUUAGUUUAUCCGCUGAAAAUGUGCGCUGAAUAACGUAAAGACCAUAUCGAUUUGCUAAUUAUAUCAAACGCCGCAGGUAACAGUUAUUACGCUUAUAUCACUGAUUUUGAAAAACUGGGACCAUCACAAAUAACAAAGAGUACGACAAAAAUGAUAUUUUAUAAACGGUGUUUCAGAAGCUUUAAUAAUAUACCAAAAAAGUUUAACUACAUGAUCACAAGGCGCUAGAAGAGCAUAAAAUAAUUUGCUGUGAAUAUAAAACAUUUUUACCUGUAAUGCCUGAAGAGGGUACUAAAUUAAAGUUCGAGUCAUGGGGCAAAAUACAGGAACAUCCAUUUGCAAUUUAUGUUGAUUUUAAAAGCCUGUUGAUCAAAUCCAAUAAAGAUACGAUAGGCAACACAAAUUAUAUGCAUGAUCAUGUUGCAAUGAGCUAUGGAUACAUAAUAAAAACGGUCGACAGUAUACCCAUAGAAUUAUUGAAACAGUUUAAUAUUCAAAGGACGACUCAAAUAUAUAGAGGUAAUAAAAGCAGUGAGCCGGAGGAAGUUAAUCGUUUUAUGGAUGAUGUAACUUAAGUGGCGUUGAAAAUUGAAAAGUUGUUCAAGACGAAUUAUGAUAUUUGUAUGAACAUGAAGAAACUGAAGAGCACAUAGAGUAAACUUGCUGUAACUUGUGUAAAGGUGGUUUAUAGAGAAAAAUUAUAAAGUAGCAGACAAUGAUCAUUUGAUAGGUAAAACAUACACAUACCUAUAUUAAAUGUAUUGUAAUUUAUAUAGAAAAAAAUGUGUAUAUUUAUUUAUAUUCGUUUCAGAUAGUUUUAGAAAAACGCUUUGUAACAAUUGCAAUUUAAAAUUAAUAACGUCCAAGUUUGUUAACGUAUAAUUUCAUAAUCUCUCCUCGUACGACGGACACCAGGCCCUUGCGCAGGAUUUGACAAUGGGGUUUUUUUUAAAAAAGAUAUAUAUUUAAUAGAUAAAUCAAUAACUAUCAAAUAUUAUAUACUAUAUAUUUAUAAUAUAAAUAAAUCAUGAUAAAACUAUAAAAUUAAAAAUUAUUUUUUUAAUAAAUUUAAUCUACGAUGAGUAGAAAAGAAUUCGUUUAAUACUUCGUUGAUAUCCACGUUUAUGUCACGAUGGAUAUUCAACGAAGCUUGUCCGAUUAAACGAUAUUCACCCAUAGAUGACCUUAAAUAGGUUUUGAAAAUGUUGAAAAUGACCUUUCAUUAGUCACUGUAGUCACCGGCAAAACUGACAUUACACAUAACAUUUUAUGAACAUUUGGAAACGCAUCUGAAUUACAAAUAUCGAGGGCGUUUCGAAUAUUUUUACCAGCUUGUCGUCGUUGCCAAAUUUCUACCUCAUUUAUCCAAAUUUCUGGGGAAUCGUCGUGUAAAAUUGAACAAUAAGUUUCAAAUAACUUUUUACAUGAAUCUUUGUCUAAAGAUUUUGUUUCAAUAGGAAAAAGACAUGAGAAGUUUGACAAAAUAUUACGAUGCUUGAGGAAGCGAUCUUGAAGAUGAGUAAUAAAUAAAUCAAGGUAUGGUAUGUAAAUAAUAAUUUUAUAAUAAUCUUCUACAGAGUCGGUUAUAAUGUUAGAACGGUUAAUUUGACGUGAGGCAAGUCUAGGUUCAGUCACAGGUAUAUUGUACUUAUUGAAAAUAUCUUCUACAGUUACAAAAAUUGUGUUGAAGUUAUCUGUAGAAUAUUGUCUUCUUUCCUCAAGUUCGUGUUUUGCUGCAUCUGCCAACUUCACGGCCUCGACUAAAUCUUGAUUUUCCGCUUGUAAAACUCUACUCAAUGAUAAAGACAAUGCAUGUACUGAAUUUAAAACGUGAAUUAAAAUUUGAAAUUCUAAUGUUUUUAUUGCUGAUAGUAAUUGAAAAGAUCCGGCUGUUGUUUUUGAGUCUGUCCAAGUACUCGAAAUAUUUUCUAAGGCAUCAAUAACUGCUGGUUGUAAAUCUAUAUAAGUUCCAAUCGACUCAUGCUAUAGUACCCACCUUGUUGCACAAUAUUUUUUAAGUUUUUUUUUUCUUGUAACAAAGUGUCAUUAUUUUUUAUUGCAUCCUGAAGUGCAAUUUGCCUUUUUGGGGUAUUAUAGAAGUUGUAAAUAAAUUGGACUGUACCAAGGCAGUUUUUGACUUGAGGGAUACUACAUGCGGCACUAACUGCUAAAUUGAACCUAUGGGCAGCACAGUGUGAGUAUAGAGCUAAAUUAUAUUUUUUUUUUAUAUACGAUUGAACUCCGUGAAAUUCACAACUCAUAGUACUAGCCCCAUCAUAACCUUGUCCAAAUAAAUAUGUACAAUCUAUUCUAGAAUAUUUUAGGAAAUUCAAAAUAGCAUUUGAUAAACCUUUCACUGUUACAUCUUCAACAGGGAUAAAGCUUAAAAAAUAUUUACAUAUUUUAUAAUUACUGUCCUUAUAAUUUAAAUACCGUACACAGAUUGAAAGUUGUUCUAUGCCGGCUAUAUCUGCAGUUUCAUCUGCUGUUAUAGAAAAAGCUCGAGAUUUAUUGACACGUUCAAUAAUCUGUUUUUGAAUUAAAUUGUGAAAUAUGACAAUAAAUUCGUUUUGAACACGGUUACUAAUGUACAUUGCGUUUUUUGCUGAAUUUUGUAAAAAAUUAUUAAGCUGUUCAUCAGUUUUUGCUCGAUAUCUUAAAAGAGCCCGAAAAUUACCAUCGUUAGUUAUAGGUUCUUCGGAAGUUACUCUUCCUGAAUCUUUUGAACCACGAAGAGCCAAACCCUGCCGACCACAUAAUAUUAAAGUUUCGAUCACAGGAAUCAAACAUUUUUUACUUUCAUUAAUGAAAUCUAAUUGUUGUUCCAAAAUUUGUAAGUCAACCAAUAAAAUGUUUUGAUUAUCAAUUUCUGUUCUCAUACUUGAUUUUAAUAAUGAAGUUUUAUGAUACUCGAGUGAGUUAUGAUAAAUAAAUGAUCCUAAAGCUUUUUUUCAGUUGGUAAGUGGUUUUUUAACAAGCUGCCCCAAUGUUUGAUGUCCAAUUCCUCCACUUCGUACAGAAAACAAUACACAAUACUUACAAAAUGCGCCAUUCAUAAAUGCUGAAUGAGCCAACUAUUUAUAUUUGGGUAACCAACUUCUUUGAAAUUUAAAAUUUCUAUUUUCGGAAACAGGAAAUUUGUAGUCUUCUGGAGGUGUUCAUAUCAAAUUUUGAAGUCCCGGUAUCAAGUUAAUACUUUCAGUUGCAGGUUUAUUCAUAUAUAACCCUAUAUCAUGAGGGUACACAAACUUUGGAAUUGAAACUGAGACAUUUGUAUCUGUAGAUGCUUUUUCUGCUGGUUUAGUUGAAUGUGACAGGUUAUUGAAACUAGUUUCCUAUAAAUAAAAUUUAAAAACUAAAUAGAUUAAUCGAGUAAUUGUAAUAAUUACAAUUAAUUUUAAUAUACUUACUAUCUCAUCUUUUUCUAGUAGUGGUUUUUUUAAAAAUCUUCGAAUGUCCAUUUCGAUGAUAUUGCAAACACCGUUUUUGUAUAACUGACGUCUUAAACUUGAUUAUGAACAUCUUUUAAAAUACGCGACUUCCGUUAUCGUGUCAUACUCGUGUUCUUCACGUCACCGUCGCGGUAAUUAUAUUUUGUCGAUAACGUCUCAACGAAAACCGAUAAACACCAAACACGAGAGUAACACAAUAAUAGUGGUGUGCUAUUAUGUUAUGCAUUAUUAUUUUAUAACUAGAGCACAAGACUUCUGUUCCCUAAAAAAACUGAUUAUGCGUGCACUUAUGCACUUAAAAAUCCUGAAAUGAGCUCUUAUAAAUUCGUUUUUAACGGUUUAUUAAUAAAAUAAAUAAUUAAUUAAAACGUAUAAACCAAAAAGAAUAUGCAAUGCUAACAGUUCUCUGCAAUUUUUAUAACAAAUAAGAUUAUUAAAUAUCUAAUAUAAUCAAUUAAAAAUGAAAAACAUGAUAUAUAUUUUUUCGUCAAUGGGGGGGGAGGGGGUUUGAACUCCCAAACCCUCCAUUGCGACCGGUCCUGACGGACACUUUUUAGUUAAAGCUCUUGGAAGAGAUACUAAUAGAAUCAGUGUAAUACCUACUACAGAAGAAAAAUAUAUUUCUUUUUCAAAGUUUGUUUCAAACAAAUUUUCUCUAAGGUUCGUUGAUACAUUUCGUUUUAUGGGUACUAGUUUAGCGUCUCUCGGUGAAAAUUUGCACGCCGUUGACAUAAAAUUAUUCGGAGAAACCGCAAAUACGUUUUCAGCGGACGGUGACAUUGAUUUGGUGACCCAUAAAGGCGUGUACCCGUAUUCAUACACCUCCAGUUAGCAUGUACUCGAAAAAAUACAAUUGCCGUCAAAAUCCGAUUUUUAUUUUGAACUGUUAGAAACGCAUACUGAUGAUGCCGAAUACAAACAUGCACAAAAAGUUUGGCAACAUUUCAAUUGUAAAAUACUCGGCGAUUACUCUAAUUUGUACCUGAAAACUGACGUAACAAUAUUUGCAGAUGUUUCUACGAAUUUUCGCAAGUUAUGUCUACUGCAUACGGGCGUUUCACUAGACCUCAUGAGCGAUUAUGAACAUCAAAUUUUUAUUGAGAGGGGAAUACGAGAAGGAAUGACAACUUCGAUGUUGAAACAUGCCAUAGUCUACAGUAAAAAGACGCCUCAUUAUGAUAUCAAACAACAAAAAUUUGAAAUUGUAUAUUUGGAUGUCAAUAAUUUGUCUGGUUGGAAUAUGUCACAACAUAUGCCAUGUGGAGAAUUUAAGUGGUUAGACGUAUACGACGCAUCAAAAAUUUUAAAGACAGAGGAAGAGUUACCGGUGGAUUCUUCUGUAGGGAUGUUUUAAGUGACGGUGUCGUACCCGAAAGAGUUACAUGAUGCCCACAACGAAAUGCCUUUUUUACUUGAACGAAAAUGCCCGCCUAUCCAUGGGUCAAAAAACUGUUGUCUAAUUUCGAUCGGAAAGAAAACUAUGUUGUACAUUUUUUAAAUUUAAAACAGACUAUAGCAAACGAAUUAAAAAUAGAAAAGAUGCAUAAGAUGUUAUAAUUUAAGCAGUCAGUAUGGCUGGCAAAUAUAUACAACUCAAUACGGAAAUGAGACAGAAAGCCAAAAAUGAAUUCGAUAAAGACUUAAUCAAAUUAAUAAAUACGCUGUUUUUGCUAAAAUUAUAGAACGUGUAUAGUUUAGAACGCAAAUGGAACUGGUUAAUAAUCCUAAACGAGCAGCUAAAUUAAUUAAAAAGCACAAUUUAAAACAUUGUACAACAUGCAGUGAAAUUUAUCGGCGUUUGUAUUGGAAAAGAAAAUUAUCGAUUUUUGUUUUAUAAUUUAGAAAUUAGUAAAACUCUAGUAUACGAUUUCCAUUAUAACGUAAUGAAUAAAUAUUUCAAAGACCGAGCUCGAUUAUUAUACGGUGACUUAGAUUAAUUGGUGUAUUUUAUCAUGGGUGGCAAAAAAAGACUUGACACUUCAGGUUUGCCGAGCAGUCACCCGUGUUAUUCAAACGCUAACAAGAANAU